CCUUAGAGUUCGAUCCUGGCUCAGGAUGAACGCUAGCUACAGGCUUAACACAUGCAAGUCGAGGGGCAUCAUGAGGUAGCAAUACCUUGAUGGCGACCGGCGCACGGGUGAGUAACGCGUAUGCAACCUGGCUGAUACAGGGGGAUAGCCCAUGGAAACGUGGAUUAACACUCCAUAAUAUUAUUUGAAGGCAUCUUUUAAUAAUUAAAUCAUUCGAGGUAUCAGAUGGGCAUGCGUCCUAUUAGCUAGUUGGGGGGGUAACGGCCCACCAAGGCAAUGAUAGGUAGGGGCUCUGAGAGGAAGGUCCCCCACAUUGGAACUGAGACACGGUCCAAACUCCUACGGGAGGCAGCAGUGAGGAAUAUUGGUCAAUGGGCGCAGGCCUGAACCAGCCAAGUCGCGUGAGGGAAGACUGCCCUAUGGGUUGUAAACCUCUUUUAUAAGGGAAGAAUAAUGACUACGUGUAGUCAGAUGCCCGUACCUUAUGAAUAAGCAUCGGCUAACUCCGUGCCAGCAGCCGCGGUAAUACGGAGGAUGCGAGCGUUAUCCGGAUUUAUUGGGUUUAAAGGGUGCGUAGGCGGUAUUUUAAGUUAGUGGUAAAACGUCGGGGCUUCACCUUGAUUGGCCAUUAAAACUGGAGUACUAGAGUACAGACGAGGUAGGCGGAAUAAGUUAAGUAGCGGUGAAAUGCUUAGAUAUAACUUAGAACCCCGAUAGCGAAGGCAGCUUACCAGACUGUUACUGACGCUGAAGCACGAGAGCGUGGGUAGCGAACAGGAUUAGAUACCCUGGUAGUCCACGCCGUAAACGAUGCUCACUGGUUCUGUGCGAUAUACAGUACCGGGAUUAACCGAAAGUAUUAAGUGAGCCCCCUGGGGGAGUACGUCCGGCAACAAUGAAACUCAAAGGAAAUUGACGGGGGCCGGCACAAGCGGAGGAACAUGUGGUUAAAUUGGAUGAUACGCGAGGACCCUUACCCGGGUUUAAAUGUGAAAAUUCAGAUAUGGAAACAUAUUUCUCUUCGGAGCUUUUUUCAAGGUGCUGCAUGGUUGUCGUCAGCUCGUGCCGUGAGGUGUCGGGUUAAGUCCCAUAACGAGCGCAACCCUUACCGUUAGUUGCCAUCAUUAAGUUGGGCACUCUAUCGGGACUGCCACCGUAAGGUGAGAGGAAGGCGGGGAUGACGUCAAAUCAGCACGGCCCUUACACCCGGGGCUACACACGUGUUACAAUGGCCGGUACAGAGGGUCGCUACCUGGUGACAGGAUGCCAAUCUCAAAAUCCGGUCUUAGUUC
rnacentral:rRNA from 1 species